GUGUAGAAGCAGAUUUCUUGUACAAAGCCUUAUAUCGCACAAUGUACCUAGUGUUGUGUCUUUAUAGUAUGUUUCUGACUACAGCAGUAUAACUGGAAUUGUCCCUUCGAGGGACUUCCACGGCGACAUGAUCUCACAGUUGACGUCAGCUCCUCCAGCAUCUGCAAACCUGUCCAUCGGCAUUUUUGACUCUUUCAUGCCGGUGCAGCGCAACACGCCCAUUAGGCACAACAGAAGUAACCUAACAAUAAACGCUGAUGUAAAACAAGACACCGUCCGUGAAAAGAAGUUUUUACCAUAACGACGCCGUCGCUCACAUCAAUGAUGACAGACUUAAAAUGGAGAUGGAAGAGAGAGGAGAGUGACAUAUUGUCUUACCUUUUGUUCACAGCUGUGUUCUAAAUCCUCCAGAAUAGUCUUGGUAGGGCAGUCUUCAUGUAGUCAGUCACAUAGCUGAGGGUUUAAUUUCUGCUUCAGGUGUUCAUUGUGCUGUUUUUCCUCACACUGACAGCCUGACUUGUUUGUCUGCUCCAGCGUCUGUGUUUUUCUUAACUCCACCCUACCUUCCAGCAACUUACUCCCCGAUCACUCCUUCCUUCUUCCUUCUUCACCUCCCUCCCUCCCGAAUGAACACGUUAAAAAGGUAAUCAACUGUCUCGCCCCGCCUCUUCUUUGUGUUUUCUGUACCGCCUCCUGCCACGUCAUUAGCCCAGGCUUUCUGCGCGUUGUCAAAGAACUGGUCCUUCCUGUUCAUCGUUUGGAGUCCUCGCCGCCUUUUGUGAAAUGUACAUCAGGCCGCUGGAACCCGUACGACAAGCUCUGCCGUCUCGGGAGGAUUCAAAUCGGUGAUAAGCCUCGUCUUUGCACUCUACAAACACAAUAAGUGACCUUUGCCUUGUCAUAAGCCAUUUAUUCAACAGCAAUAUGCGUACUUUUUCAUACAGUGGAUUAAAAGCAGUUAUUACAAUCAUGGCUAUUGUGAUUGAAAGUGCGUAGUAAAGUGUGUCAUAACUACAUUAUUGUUCAUUCGUCUCACAGUUUGGCAGAUGACGUUUGAGGCUGAGGUCCGAGCCAUUUCUCACCUGAAUAAAAACACAACAGCGACAAAUUCAGACAAAUCGGCUGACGCAUCGCACAAAAGGUGAACCAUGCCGAAAACAACAGGUGGAUAAUCUACUCAAAUUGACCAACUUUGUGAUGGACUUCAUCUUCUUCACCUGCCUCAUCAAUAACACAGCUCCUCAUUGGUCAGACUUUGCAUAAGUACAUCCACUCCAAAACAUCUUGAUGCCCCACAAGUGCUAAAUUGGGUUCAUGCCUGAAGAAAACAUACUAUGUCCAUGGCUUUCACCUUCUUCAGCAAGGCACUUGUCAUUUUACCAUCUUCAAGUCUUCAAGACAGUCUGCCCCACAACAAGAGGAUAAAGGAAAAUAAGGAACUUAUUGACUACAACUUUGUACUGCAAUGGAUUGGCAUUGGCAGAAUCGUGCAAUGCUUUUUUGGUAAACCUCUGCCAUUAACGGAGAGAUCUGCUGCCGUAACUAAAGCAAAAUAUGUCACUAAAGUCUCAAAUUCCAAAUGGCUCGUUUGGAUCAAGUUUGGAAAAAGGCAAGAUUGUUUUAUAAAUAUUCCCGUCAUGCCUCUGUAGUUUGAUUUCAACUUUUCGGGGCUUAUGCAGAUCCCAAAUACACAGAACAGGUACCAACAGGUAAGAAAAGUUGGUUUCGCAUAAAAGGCCCGCUUUAAACUAUGGAACAGUUUGCAUUUUGGGGUUAAAAAAACGUCAUACCAUAGUACAGUUUAAAAAAAAAUUAAAAGACAUGAUUUUCAAUGCAUACAAGAAUGAGGGUUUCUAACUAUCACAUUAUUUGUAUUAUUAUUGGGUAUUUAUUUACUUAUUUGCUGGUGUUACAGUGACUUAGUUCUUGUACUGUAUAUGUACAGUAUGUGCUCGUUUGUGUACCUGCAUGUAUGUUUGUGCUUAAAUAAAGACUAUUGAUAAUGUAUUAAGCCCAGUACAUUAAUCAUUGUACAGUUAGUAAUGACAAGAAAAAGGUAAAUUUAUAAAUAAGGCGUGGGGAAAAACAUUUUUUCUUCCCAUUCCUUAUUGUCUAUGAAAAACCUGAGCAUUAUGUAUUGUUUCCAUUUUUCAUGUGUUUUCAUUGUGAAGUAUUUGUUUCAUUAAAGGUAUGUUACUGUAUUAACUUUAUUAUUAAA